rnacentral:tRNA from 1 species
GGGGAGGUUCCCGAGUGGCCAAAGGGAACAGACUGUAAAUCUGUCGGCAUUAGCCUUCGGAGGUUCGAAUCCUCCCCUCCCCACCA